rnacentral:rRNA from 1 species
CCUACGGGUGGCAGGAGUGAGGAAUAUUGGUCAAUGGGCGCGAGCCUGAACCAGCCAAGUCGCGGGAGGGAGGACGGCCCUACGGGUUGUAAACCUCUUUUGCCGGGGAGCAACGGGCGCCACGUGUGGCGUCACUGAGAGUACCCGGAGAAAAAGCAGCGGCUAACUCCGGGCCAGCAGCCGCGGUAAUACGGAGGAUGCGAGCGUGCGCCGGAUUUAUUGGGUUUAAAGGGUGAGUAGGCGGAUCGUUAAGUCAGUGGUCAAAUUGAGGGGCUCAACCCCUUCCCGCCAUUGAAACUGGCGUUCUUGAGUGGACGAGACGUAUGCGGAAUGCGUGGUGUAGCGGUGAUAUGCAUAGAUAUCACGCAGAACCCCGAUUGCGAAGGCAGCAUGCCGGCUUCCGACUGACGCUGAGGCACGAAAGCGUGGGGAUCGAACAGGAUUAGAUACCCCAGUAGUC